UCUUCUUGAACGCAGUUUGAUGACUCCUACUACAUAUUUGGCGCCAUGGCAGUGGCAGCUUGUAGACUGUGAUGUCUCUUUCGUGGAAGUCACAAAGCACGCACCACUUGCACACGUCCAUAAAUACUUCCUCGAACCACAAGGUCAAUCCUUUUCGGAGGCCGGCGUUCUCCAUCCUGAUGCAAGCAUUUUCACAGGAGAAGCUUAUGCAUUACUGGCAGUUGUAAAACACAUUAUACAGAUAAAGGUACAAAAGACAGUAAAUACAGAGAUUCCCCAAGUAACGCGAAAGCCCUAAAAACUCCUAAAAACACAAAAGCCAAUGUUAGUGUUGCUUUACUCACUUU